rnacentral:lncRNA from 1 species
GGCUAUCGUCAUAGCUCGCCAUGUGGAAUCAGUUGCGAGGAGUGGAGCAGGAUCGUGGCCGUUAUUGCGGCCUGCCAUGAAGUAGUGGAGUCACGCAGCACCUGCCACAGGGAGCGGAGCAGAAUCAUGGCCGUUGAUACAGCCUGUCAGAGAGUAAUGGGGUCGCACAGGGUCCGCCGCAGAGAGUGGAGCAGGGCUGCGACCGUUACUGUGGCCUGUCAGGGGUGAUGGAGCAGUGCGGGAUCCGUUGUAGGAAGUGGAGCAGGGCCGCCAAGGGGCGCAGAUCUAUCGGCUGAAGCUCGGCAGCGGUCGGAGUCCGACCUCUGUAGGAAUCCGGGCGGAGUCUUCCUGCAAUCAAAGUUAAAGGUGAAGC